ensembl:lncRNA
GGGAAAAGGUUAGGGUUAGGGUUUGGGAUAGGGUUAGGGUUAGCAUUAUGUUCAGGGUCAGGGUUAGGGUUAGGGUAAAUUUAGGGUAAGUGUAGGGUUAGGGAUAGGGUUAGGGUUAGGUUUAGGGUUUGGGUUACGGUUAGGUUCAGGGAUAGGGUUAGGGUUAUGGUUGGGGGUAGGGUUAGGGUUAAGGGUUAGGGUUAGGGUUAGGGUUAGGGUUAGGGUUAGGGUUAGGGUUAGGGUUAGGGUUAGGGUUAGGGUUAGGGUUAGGGUUAGGGUUAGGGUUAGGGUUGGGCUAGGUUUUGUGUUAGGCUUAGGGUUAGGGUUAGGGUUAGGAAAAUAGGGUUAGAGCUACAUUUGUGGUAGGGAUAGGCUUAGGGUUAGGGUUGGCAUGACGGUUAGGGUUAGGGUUUGGGUUAAGGUUUGGGUUACAGUUAGGGUCAGGGUUGGGGUAGGUUUAGUGUUAGGCUUAGGGUUAGGGUUAGGGUUAGGAAAGUAGUUAGGGUUAGGGUUAGGGUUACGGUUAGGUUUAGGGUUAGGGUUAGGGUUAGGCUUAGGGUUAGGGUUAGGCUUAGGGAUAGUGUUAGGGUUAGGGUUUGGGUUAGGCAUAGGGUAAGUUUGGUGUAAGUGUACAGUUAGGGAUAGGGAUAGCGGUAGUGUUAGGAUUAGGCUUAGGGUUAGGGUUAGUGUUAAGAUUAGGGUUAAAGUAAGGUUAGGGUUAGGGUUAGGGUUAGGCUUAACAUUAUGUUCAGGGUUAGGGUUAGGGUUAGGGUAAAUUUAGGGUAAGUGUAGGGUUAGGGAUAGGGUUAGGGUUAGGGUUAGGGUUAGGGUUAGGGUUAGGGUUAGGGUUAGGGUUAGGGUUAGG